GGAGGGUAAGGGGCUUAGAGUGACGAGGACGCAGGGCCCUGCCCGCUGGGGCUCCCUCCCAGGACGCUGUCAGGCCCGUUCCCGCGCCCCUGUCUGGCCCGUGAGCAGACCCGUGUGCAGAGACGUCGCCCUGGUCUCUGUGAACAUCAGCCAUGACAGCAGGGAAGGCCCAGAAAAUCCUCGACGAGCGCGGCGGGAAACGCAGGCCCACGCCCGAGCGCAGACGGAACGGGCUUCGACGCAGGGCCCUCCCCUCGCCUGUCCCGUGUCUCUGCACGCGGCGCACACGGCCCCAGCGUGUGGCUGGCAGGGCUGCCCAGGUUAGCGAGCCAGCGCCUGUCUUCGGGAUGGAUAAUUUCGAACCGGAGCAGAGGAAAACACGCGACGCCACAUCCCCCAGGAUCCCUCCUCCCAGGUCUACACCCCGCAGCACCGAGAACAGAGACCUGAAGGAAAACCCGGACACGCGUUGGCGGCGACACGAUUCACAAGAGGAGCCAGAGGGGAGCGGGCCAGACGUCAUCAGCUGCUUCUCGGGGAAACAAAGGCAGGGGACUCCAGGCCACGGAACGUUAUCUGUGGCGAGAAGGAAUGAGGCCCAGACAUGGGCUGUAACACAGUGAACCCGGAAACAGAUGCCAAGUGCAGGCGCCACACGCGAGGGCCGCGUGCUCACGCUUCCUGCACAUGCAACGUGCAGGGUGGGAACAGGGACAGAGACAGCUCGUCGGUGGUCCCGGGACUGGGGGGAGGAACAGCCGUAGUGGGUGUGGGGUUUUCUUUUAGGAUGAUAAAAAUAUUUUGGGACUACAUACAGGUGGUGUUUGCACAACCUUGUGAAUGGCCAAAGCACCAUCGAAUUGUGUGCUUUAAAAUGGUUAAUUUCAUCUUACUGAAUUUCACAAUUAAAAAUCCAAAAAAGGUGA